rnacentral:rRNA from 1 species
GGCGAACGCUGGCGGCGUGCUUAACACAUGCAAGUCGAACGGAAAGGCCCUGCUUUUGUGGGGUGCUCGAGUGGCGAACGGGUGAGUAACACGUGAGUAACCUGCCCUUGACUUUGGGAUAACUUCAGGAAACUGGGGCUAAUACCGGAUAGGAGCUCCUGCUGCAUGGUGGGGGUUGGAAAGUUUCGGCGGUUGGGGAUGGACUCGCGGCUUAUCAGCUUGUUGGUGGGGUAGUGGCUUACCAAGGCUUUGACGGGUAGCCGGCCUGAGAGGGUGACCGGCCACAUUGGGACUGAGAUACGGCGCAGACUCCUACGGGAGGCAGCAGUGGGGAAUAUUACACAAUGGGCGGAAGCCUGAUGCAGCAACGCCGCGUGCGGGAUGACGGCCUUCGGGUUGUAAACCGCUUUCGCCUGUGACGAAGCGUGAGUGACGGUAAUGGAUAAAGAAGCACCGGCUAACUACGUG